AACCUGGAUGCUUGCAUCCAGGGGUUGUAGGACUGAUGUUGAGUUACAAAGGUAUAAGAUAGCAGAAACAGUUGGGAAGCUGUUCCAAAGAGGGUGACAGGCCCGUAUGCGAAAUCUUGUACUCUCUAAUCAGGAUCCUGAGUACGGCCCAGCACGUGAAAUUGGGUCGGAAUCUGGGAGGACCAUCUCCCAAGGCUAAAUACUAACUAGUGACCGAUAGCGAACAAGUACCGUGAGGGAAAGGUGAAAAGAACCCCGGAAGGGGAGUGAAAUAGUUCUUGAAACCGUGUGCUUACAAGAAGUUCGAGGCCGUUAAUGGCUGAGAGCGUGCUUUUUGUAGAAUGAACCGGAGAGUUACGAUUGCGUGCAAGGUUAAGGUGCAAAGACUGGAGCCGUAGCGAAAGCGAGUCUUAAUAGGGCGAAUCAGUACGUAGUUGUAGACCCGAAACCGAGUGACCUAUCCAUGGUCAGGUUGAAGGUGGGGUAAUACCUACUGGAGGACCGAACAAGUGGGUGUUAAAAAACCCUUUGAUGAACUGUGGAUAGCGGUGAAAUUCCAAUCGAACUCGGAGAUAGCUGGUUCUAUCCGAAAUACAUUUAGGUGUAGCCUUGCAAUUAGCUUACUGGAGGUAGAGCACUAUUUGGUCUAGGGGCCCUUCAAGGGUUACCAAAAUCAGAUAAACUCCGAAUGCCAGCUAAGUAUGUGCAGGAGUCAGACGGUGAGUGAUAAGAUCCAUCGUCAAAAGGGGAACAGCCCAGAUCACCAGUUAAGGUCCCUAAAUAUAUGCUAAGUGGAAAACGUUGUGAAGGUGCAUAGACAACUAGGAGGUUGGCUCAGAAGCAGCCACCCUUUAAAGAGUGCGUAAUAGCUCACUAGUCGAGUGCUCUUGCGCGGAUAAUGUACCGGGGCUAAGCAUAUUACCGAAACUGUGGAUGCGUAAGCAUGGUAGGAUAGCGUAAUUAACGCGAUGAAGGAUGACCGUAAGGACAUGUUGGAGCGUUAACUAGUGAGAAUUCCGGUAUGAGUAGCGAAAGAUAGGUGAGAAUCCUAUCCACCGAAUGAGUAAGGUUUCCCCCGGAAGGCUCGUCCGCGGGGGGUUAGUCGGGACCUAAGGCGAGGCUGAAAAGCGUAGUCGAUGGACAACAGGUUGAUAUUCCUGUACCGAUAUUUAAUUGCCGAAGGAAGGACGCAGAAGGAUAACACAGGCCACUAUUGGAUGUGGUUUUAAACAGUUAGUCUUCAUAAGAGUCAAAUGCUUUUAUGUUUAAGGAUAAGCUGUGAAUGUACCAAGUUUACUUGGAAAUUGUGUGAUUUCACGCUGCUGAAAAAAGUUUCGUAGGAAGAAAAUAUUGCCCGUACCGCAAACCGACACAGGUACUCAAGUGGAGAACACUAAGG
rnacentral:rRNA from 1 species